UGGGGAAUCUUGGACAAUGGGCGCAAGCCUGAUCCAGCCAUGCCGCGUGAGUGAAGAAGGCCUUAGGGUUGUAAAACUCUUUCGCCGGAGAAGAUAAUGACGGUAUCCGGAGAAGAAGCCCCGGCUAACUUCGUGCCAGCAGCCGCGGUAAUACGAAGGGGGCUAGCGUUGUUCGGAAUUACUGGGCGUAAAGCGCACGUAGGCGGGUCUGUAAGUAGAGGGUGAAAUCCCAGGGCUCAACCCUGGAACUGCCUUCUAGACUGCAGGCCUGGAGGUCAGGAGAGGCGAGCGGAAUUCCGAGUGUAGAGGUGAAAUUCGUAGAUAUUCGGAGGAACACCAGUGGCGAAGGCGGCUCGCUGGACUGAUACUGACGCUGAGGUGCGAAAGCGUGGGGAGCAAACAGGAUUAGAUACCCCCGUAGUCCCUGAGCGGGCUGGCAAGGCGCAU
rnacentral:rRNA from 1 species